GACGAACGCUGGCGGCGUGCCUAAUACAUGCAAGUAGAACGCCGAAGGAGGAGCUUGCUUCUCUGGAUGAGUUGCGAACGGGUGAGUAACGCGUAGGUAACCUGCCUGGUAGCGGGGGAUAACUAUUGGAAACGAUAGCUAAUACCGCAUAACAGUAGAUAUCGCAUGAUAUCUACUUGAAAGGUGCAAUUGCAUCACUACCAGAUGGACCUGCGUUGUAUUAGCUAGUUGGUGAGGUAACGGCUCACCAAGGCGACGAUACAUAGCCGACCUGAGAGGGUGAUCGGCCACACUGGGACUGAGACACGGCCCAGACUCCUACGGGAGGCAGCAGUAGGGAAUCUUCGGCAAUGGACGGAAGUCUGACCGAGCAACGCCGCGUGAGUGAAGAAGGUUGUCGGAUCGUAAAGCUCUGUUGUAAGAGAAGAACGAGUGUGAGAGUGGAAAGUUCACACUGUGACGGUAUCUUACCAGAAAGGGACGGCUAACUACGUG
rnacentral:rRNA from 1 species